GCCAUUUUACCAAGAAAGUUGGGUUUCUUUUACUGGCAAAUAGUACUUCAAGAGCACAGUCUUAUGUAAGCAUGACCCAUCUGCCUGGCACCAGCACCUGGGGCUGCCAGGCAGCCACCCCUGCAGCUGUGUUGACAGGGCCUGGCAGAGGGACUGACCCACCUUUGGAAAAUGACACCAGCAAUAUCAGGAUGUGUCAACUGGAUUUAUGUUAAGAAAAUAGGAUUUUUGGUGUUCCUCUGUUUCCCAAAGUUUGAGACACUUUCAGACACUCUGCUUUGCGGUUGUGGCCGAUGUUACCCAUGGGUGGGACUUUUGCUUUGCUCUAGAUUUUUGUAACACCCUGGGGAGUUUCAGGGGCCAAUGCUGAGAGAAGACCACAGGCUGACACAUCAUGAGGUGCCUAACUUACUGAGAAUCAUGCCUGCUGUGAUGAGCCCUUGGAAACCAUCAGGACUGGAUGGUAGGGGUCCUGAGAGGAUUGGGGGAGGAGGCCUUGAUAUGACAGAGUGGACAGAGGCUGUGGAACCCAGGACGGCCAGCCUGCUCCACAAUCCUCAUCCCCACAGACCUUCAUGUGUGGCUCCUAAAUAAGAGGAAACCCACUCCUGAUAAGUCAGGGGCUUU
rnacentral:antisense_RNA from 1 species